rnacentral:rRNA from 1 species
GCAUAUCAAUAAGCGGAGGAAAAGAAACCAACAGGGAUUGCCCUAGUAACGGCGAGUGAAGCGGCAACAGCUCAAAUUUGAAAUCUGGCUUCGGCCCGAGUUGUAAUUUGCAGAGGAAGCUUUAGGCGCGGCACCUCCUGAGUCCCCUGGAACGGGGCGCCACAGAGGGUGAGAGCCCCGUAUAGUUGGAUGCCUAGCCUGUGUAAAGCUCCUUCGACGAGUCGAGUAGUUUGGGAAUGCUGCUCAAAAUGGGAGGUAAAUUUCUUCUAAAGCUAAAUACCGGCCAGAGACCGAUAGCGCACAAGUAGAGUGAUCGAAAGAUGAAAAGCACUUUGAAAAGAGGGUUAAAUAGCACGUGAAAUUGUUGAAAGGGAAGCGCUUGUGACCAGACUUGCGCCGGGCUGAUCAUCCGGUGUUCUCACCGGUGCACUCUGCCCGGCUCAGGCCAGCAUCGGUUCUCGCGGGGGGAUAAAGGCCCUGGGAACGUAGCUCCUCCGGGAGUGUUAUAGCCCGGGGCGCAAUGCCCUCGCGGGGACCGAGGUUCGCGCUCUGCAAGGAUGCUGGCGUAAUGGUCAUCAGCGACCCGUCUUGAAACACGGACCAAGGAGUCAAGGUUUUGCGCGAGUGUUUGGGUGUAAAACCCGCACGCGUAAUGAAAGUGAACGUAGGUGAGAGCUUCGGCGCAUCAUCGACCGAUCCUGAUGUUCUCGGAUGGAUUUGAGUAGGAGCGUUAAGCCUUGGACCCGAAAGAUGGUGAACUAUGCUUGGAUAGGGUGAAGCCAGAGGAAACUCUGGUGGAGGCUCGCAGCGGUUCUGACGUGCAAAUCGAUCGUCAAAUCUGAGCAUGGGGGCGAAAGACUAAUCGAACCAUCUAGUAGCUGGUUACCGCCGAG